GACGAACGCUGGCGGCGUGCUUAACACAUGCAAGUCGAACGGAAAGGCCCUGCUUUUGUGGGGUGCUCGAGUGGCGAACGGGUGAGUAACACGUGAGUAACCUGCCCUUGACUUUGGGGUAACUUCAGGAAACUGGGGCUAAUACCGGAUAGGAGCUCCUGCUGCAUGGUGGGGGUUGGAAAGUUUCGGCGGUUGGGGAUGGACUCGCGGCUUAUCAGCUUGUUGGUGGGGUAGUGGCUUACCAAGGCUUUGACGGGUAGCCGGCCUGAGCGGGUGACCGGCCACAUUGGGACUGAGAUACGGCCCAGACUCCUACGGGAGGCAACAGUGGGGAAUAUUGCACAAUGGGCUGAAGCCUGAUGCAGCAACGCCGCGUGCGGGAUGACGGCCUUCGGGUUGUAAACCGCUUUCGCCUGUGACGAAGCGUGAGUGACGGUAAUGGGUAAAGAAGCACCGGCUAACUACGUG
rnacentral:rRNA from 1 species